UACGUAGGGUGCAAGCGUUGUCCGGAAUUAUUGGGCGUAAAGAGCUCGUAGGCGGUUUGUUGCGUCGGCUGUGAAAUCCCGAGGCUCAACCUCGGGUCUGCAGUCGAUACGAGCAAACUAGAGUGUUGCAGGGGAGACUGGAAUUCCUGGUGUAGCGGUGAAAUGCGCAGAUAUCAGGAGGAACACCGGUGGGCGGAAGGCGGAUCUCUGGGCCAUUACUGACGCUGGAGGCGCGAAAAGCCUAGGGGAGCAAACGGG
rnacentral:rRNA from 1 species